rnacentral:lncRNA from 1 species
AAGUCUUGGUAAGUCUUCUGAAACCAGAUUCAAAUUAACCAUUAAAAUAGCACAUGGUCAACCAUCAUCCAAAUGCCCAGGAAAGAAAAACUAAAAAAAUGGACUUCAAACACUCAGAUAUUCGGCUAGCUUGGCCCACAAAGAACAUGGUCAAAGAUGCCAAUAUACAACCUUUCAACUGGAGCAAGAUCUCGUUCAAACAGCCCACAAGACACUGAAUGUUGGCAGCAGAUUCCAAGCACAUUCCUGCAAAACAUGGGACAGUCGAAGGUUCCAACAAGACCGUGUAAUCCUCAUAGUCCAUGCCGAGUAUUAGAAAGAAGGAAAAAAGUAGGAUGAAUAUUAGAUAAUAUACAAUAGUGAGCAGGAAGUUGAAUCUAUUAGUAAAGCGGUUAAGUUUCAACUCAUUAGUAGUUAGUUUGUUAUGAGAGCUUAUAGCUUAUGUCUAUAAAUUGUAAUCCAAUCUAAAGUGAAUUUCAAGUUUUCAGUUUCUCAAAACGAUUUCUACUCCCUCUUUUCUUCUUUUUUUCAUUUGUUCAUCCCUGAACCAAAUCUAAAGAUUCAUCACAUGGAUUCAGUCAACAAAAGGCCGAGAAAGGUAUGGAAAUUUCUUGUAGAAAAAUAAAUAAAUUCUAUCUUUUGGAUUGACGUGAUAUGGAAGGAGUUGUAACCAUCAAAUUGGGACUAGCCGUUGAGAUUUAGUUUGAAAUUUUAAGCAUAUGGACCACAAAAACUAAUAGUCGGCCAA